rnacentral:lncRNA from 1 species
AUUUAAUCCGCGCUGCCCUCAAACCAAAGCACGCAGACUGUUUUUAUUUAUAGGCUGUUUCAACUUCAAUUUCAAAUGAUUUUCUAACAAGUUUUUAUUUUCUAAGAACAGUUUGAAUUUAGGUGUGUUCCGCCUCCUCAUUCAUUCACAUAAAAAUAGUCAUUUUUACUUUUGCGGACAAUUUUAUUUUUGGGACAUUUCUGACCCGGACAAAAUUCCCCAAGCACUUUCCAAUUGUUUGUGCAGUUCAAGUCUGCAGACAUUUGCUAAUCUCCCGUCAGAACAGGAUCUGCACACGUGUUCACAUUUUCCAUCUGUUGCCCUCAUUGUUUUCGUUACUAAUAAUAACUUUGGAAAUGUGUGCGUUUCUAUCAAACUACAUGGCCUUAUGACUCCCUAGUGGCGCAGCGGUCAAAGGCACAACACGGGGUCAAAGGCACAGCACGGUGCUAGAGACGUCACUACAGACUCCCUGGUUCAAAUCCAUGCUGCGUUUCUAAGUGGUCCACCUUCCCUGUGGCCGACAUGGUUGCUGUAUGGACAGUGGAGAGGACAUGGACGUCUCUUUUGUCAUGCCACUAUACUGCCAGCUGUUGACCGUUCUCCUGGAACUCCACCUCCCCUCUCUGCAUCUUCCUGCAUCCGAAUGCCGGCAUCCCCGUCCUGUUCGACCUGACUGUGCCACAGGCCCCUGUGCUGUUGGAGAGCAGAUGCUGGAAGAGUGUGGGUCUGCUGUACCAAUUGUCCACGUACAAAGUGUGUCCCUUGCCGAGAUGAGGAGCCAGCAUGGUCAUCACCACGGACCCAGACACCCCAAGCCCCUCAUAAUGUUUGAUGUCAGUGGUAGACCCUGUGUACACUAUAAUAUCCAGGACAUAUCCUGUCUUCACGUCGCACAUGACAAAGAACUUGACCCCAAACCUGUGCCUUUUGGAGGGAAUAUAUUGACGGAACGCCAGCCUACCUUUCCAUAACAUCAGGGACUCAUCAAUGCAUAGGUCCUUGUAUGGCACAAAGACCCGACCAAAUGCUGAUGUCAGGCUGAUAAGAACAAUUCUUAUUUUGUAUAACUGGUCACUUAGGAUGGCAGUAGCAUUGUUGACGAAAUGCAGGCAUCGCAGCAGAAUUAGGAAGCGGUCUUGGGAAAAGAGGGUUGCAAAGAAGGGAGUUGCAAACAUAGGAUCUGUGCUCCAGUAGUCUCUUAGGGAGUUCUUCUUUACUAUCCCCAUGAGGAGGACUGUCACCAGGAAGGUAUACAUUUCACUAAUUGUGGUUGUCACCCAUUUAGCGAGUUUCCCCCUCACUCCUGGCUCUCUCUUCUCCUGUAGCUCCAAGGCAUAGCGAUUGGUCUCCUGUACUAUGUUUCCCACGAGCUCCUCUGUCAGAAACAACUUGAAGCACUCUGCCUCAGUUGGAAAUGGCAAGGGGCGUUGCACUCCAGACUGGGACUCGUCAAAGCAAACAGCAGGGCCAGGAGGGGUGAAAUGGCUGGCGGCCUUCCAGCUACCACAGAACUCUUGUACUUCAUCCACUGUCGGUCUGCCUCCAUCACCACCAGCAUCUUCAAAGGGACCUGGUACUUCGUCAGUGGACAAGGGAACCUCAGAUUCAGGGUUCUCAAUGGCUACAAGGUUGGGGGGCAGCUCCUCACUGUCACUGUCAGAAUCUGAUUCCUGACUUUCAUACUCAGACUCAUUGUCAGAAUUUAAAAAAAUCUCCAGAAUUUCCACAUUUGUGAGUUGUCUCCUUUUGAAAGACAUUGCUAUUGCUACAGCUUAGCUCACGAGCUACAUACAUAAACAACAACACUGAAUGGCUCAGAGUGAGAGGGUACGUGAUUGACUGCCGGCAUGCGUCACUUGUAUCAAUAAAUCACCAUCAGAAAAUGUUUUGUGUGGUAAUUAUUUGUGUAUUUACU